rnacentral:rRNA from 8 species
AAUCAUGGAAUGACUCUCGGCAACGGAUAUCUAGGCUCUCGCAUCGAUGAAGAACGUAGCGAAAUGCGAUACGUGGUGUGAAUUGCAGAAUCCCGUGAACCAUCGAGUUUUUGAACGCAAGUUGCGCCCGAGGCCAUCUGGCCGAGGGCACGCCUGCCUGGGCGUCAGUU